GAUGAACGCUAGCGGGAGGCCUAACACAUGCAAGCCGAGCGGUAGAGAUUCUUCGGGAUCUUGAGAGCGGCGUACGGGUGCGGAACACGUGUGCAACCUGCCUUUAUCUAUGGGAUAGCCUUUCGAAAGGAAGAUUAAUACCGUAUAAUAUAUCGAUAGGCAUCUAUUGAUAUUGAAAGCUCCGGCGGAUAAAGAUGGGCACGCGCAAGAUUAGCUAGUUGGUGAGGUAACGGCUCACCAAGGCGAUGAUCUUUAGGGGGCCUGAGAGGGUGAUCCCCCACACUGGUACUGAGACACGGACCAGACUCCUGCGGGAGGCAGCAGUGAGGAAUAUUGGUCAAUGGGUGCAAGCCUGAACCAGCCAUCCCGCGUGAAGGACGACUGCCCUAUGGGUUGUAAACUUCUUUUGUAUAGGGAUAAACCUACUCACGUGUGAGUAGCUGAUAGUAUGGUAAGAAUAAGCAUCGGCUAACUUCGUGCCAGCAGCCGCGGUAACAC
rnacentral:rRNA from 1 species